rnacentral:ncRNA from 2 species
ACAGGAGACUAGGGGUGUCUGCUUAAGUGGACUGAGAAAAAGGUGUGUUCCUUUUACCCUCAUACCUGAUCUGGAUCAUGCCAGCGUAGGGAAGUCGACUGCACGUGAC